GCAUGUUAACGCAGAAAAUAACACUCCAAGAGAAUAACAAUCAACACGAAUUCUUCCAAGAAUCGGCGAAUUGAAACCUCCGUCACUUUGAAUCAAAUCGCAUCCUCUAUGAUGCGUCAUACCAAGCAAUUAUCAAAUAUCACAGUACCAGACAUAGUCGUGAUGAGAUCGGAAGCGGAAAUGAAUGAUUCAGUGAACUGAAAUGCGAUUGCAAAUGGAAUCGCAAACCCUAGAAUUUGGGGGAAAAGGAAGGGAUUAAAGUUGCGAUUAAAACAAAAUCGCAAUCGAACACGGAACAAGAAUCAAAUCGAAAAGAAAUCAAGAAAUCGGAUCGAGAACAUGAAUUGGAAUCACGAAAUUUGCAAAACGGAAUCAAAAUUGAAAUCAAGAAAACGGAAUUCGCAAACGGAAGAUGAGAAAAGUGAUUUUCUCUGAUAGAAAAUUAACAGUACUAGAGAAUUGAAUUUCUCAGGAAAAAUAGAAAAGAAAGAGCGAUAGAAAAUGAAAGUUGAGAAAAAUAAAUUUUCUCGAGAAAAUGCAGCGGAAAAUUUUCUUCAAGGUGGAUACCAAAUUUGCUCUGAUACCAUGUUAAGAAUCAUGGCAUCCAUAAAAAAGUAGAGAGAAAAGUAAAAAAUUUGUAUUGAUGAUAAUGAGUACAAUUACAAUUGAUAAGAAAAUUAGGUACAAUUGACUUAUUUAUAGGCUAACUAACUAGACUAACUAACUAGUAACUAAUGCAACUAACUAUACCUCUAAUA
rnacentral:lncRNA from 1 species